GAUGAACGCUGGCGGCGUGCUUAACACAUGCAAGUCGAACGAAGAGGGUUAGAAUGAGAGCUUCGGCAGGAUUUCUUUCCAUCUUAGUGGCGGACGGGUGAGUAACGUGUGGGCAACCUGCCCUGUACUGGGGAAUAAUCAUUGGAAACGAUGACUAAUACCGCAUGUGGUUCUCGGAAGGCAUCUUCUGAGGAAGAAAGGAUUUAUUCGGUACAGGAUGGGCCCGCAUCUGAUUAGCUAGUGGUGAGAUAACAGCCCACCAAGGCGACGAUCAGUAGCCGACCUGAGAGGGUGAUCGGCCACAUUGGGACUGAGACACGGCCCAA
rnacentral:rRNA from 1 species